UAUAUACUCCCUCCGUCCGGAAAUACUUGUCAUCAAAAUGAAUAAAAGGGGAUGUAUCUAGAUGUAUUUUAGUUCUAGAUACAUCUCUUUUUGUUCAUUUUGAUGACAAGUAUUUUCGGACGGAGGGAGUAUACU
rnacentral:pre_miRNA from 1 species